UACAGAGGGUGCGAGCGUUAAUCGGAAUUACUGGGCGUAAAGCGCGCGUAGGCGGCUUUGCAAGUCGGGUGUGAAAUCCCCAGGCUUAACCUGGGAACUGCAUUCGAGACUGCAUUGCUAGAGUAUGGGAGAGGGAAGUGGAAUUUCCGGUGUAGCGGUGAAAUGCGUAGAUAUCGGAAGGAACAUCAGUGGCGAAAGUGACUUCCUGGACCAAUACUGACGCUCAUGUGCGAAAGCGUGGGGAGCAAACAGG
rnacentral:rRNA from 1 species